ensembl:snRNA U6 U6 spliceosomal RNA
GUGCUCACUUCAGCAGCACAUAUAUUAAAACUGAAAUGAUACAGAGGAGAUUAGCAUGGCCCCUGAGCAAGGAUGAUGCAUAAAUUUUGUGGUACACUUGUUA